GCAGUUCCGGCCGCGCAGCUCUCGCGGAGAGGGGCGCUCGAGGCGGUUUGAGGGGACCCGGAGGCUCUUACAAACUGGCAGUUCAUUGAGAAAAGGCAGCUUUUAGUCACAGCCCCUCUCGCUAAGACAGAGAUGCCGCCAAACUGAAGUCCGGAGGAGAAAGGAUAGGGGCUACGGGCUGCAGCAGGGUCCAAGCCACGCCGUUAGGCUGCGGAACCGGGUUGGGAAUGCCCUUAGCGGAGUGUGUACCCGCGCCCGCGGCGGUGUCUCAGAGGCAGCUCCAGUGGCCUGUACUAUAUGCGGGGAUGUGACCGAAGGAAAUGGGAAAGUAAGGGAGCGGGAGUGGAAAUGGCUGAGCCAGAAAGCACUUGGGAAAAGAGGAAAGCGCCCUGAACUGGGGAUUGGAGGCCUGACUCCUGAGGUCCGCGGAGCCCCCGGCCUCCUCCUUGAGGGACUUGGACACUAGAGCACCGCCACUGUCCCUUCCAUAUAGGAAGCCCUAAGUGUUUGAAAGUAGGAACAUGUAUUUUAAGGCCGGGCGCGGUGGCUCACGCCUGUAACUCCAGCACUUUGGGAAGCCAAGGCAGGCUGAUCACUUGAGGUCAGGAGUUCGAGACCAGCCUGAACAACAAUGGUGAAAUUCCGUUUCUAUUAAAAACACAUAAAUUAGCCGGAUGUAGUGGUGCACGCCUGUAAUCCCAGCAGCUACUCGAGAGGCUGAGGCAGGAGAAUCAUGAACCCAGGAGGCGAAGGUUGCAGUGAGCUGAGAUCAAGCCACUGCACUCCAGCCUGGGCGACAGAGUGAACAGUCUCAAAAAAAAAAAAAAAGCAUAUCUUUUUUUUAAAAUAAAAUUAUGACUCUCACACAAAUAUAAAAUGAACAUAUGUCAAAGAUACCAUUUAACUCAUUAAUGAUGGUAUAUAUACAAUGCUCCACUAGAGCUCUAGAUAGCUUAAAGACAAAAGUAAGACCCCAUAAGACGAGAUAACCCAGAAGGGUAUGCCAGACAAUACCUACUUGU
rnacentral:lncRNA from 1 species